UACGUAGGGUGCAAGCGUUAAUCGGAAUUACUGGGCGUAAAGCGUGCGCAGGCGGUUGUGCAAGACCGAUGUGAAAUCCCCGGGCUUAACCUGGGAAUGGCAUUGGUGACUGCACGGCUAGAGUGUGUCAGAGGGGGGGUAGAAUUCCACGUGUAGCAGUGAAAUGCGUAGAGAUGUGGAGGAAUACCGAUGGCGAAGGCAGCCCCCCUGGGAUAACACU
rnacentral:rRNA from 1 species